UUCGACCUGAGCUCAGACGCGAGCACCC
rnacentral:rRNA from 1 species